rnacentral:rRNA from 1 species
AUGUACUGUUUUUGCUCUGACCAGAUCGUUCCCAUUUGUUUGGAGGUUCUACGAUCUGUUGCAUCUCUGUUCUUCUCGUUAAGGUUAGCUGCUCUAUUUCCUAGGUACACGUGUAUUAUCGUUUAUGUCGGUGCUAUCAUGGUGCUUGGUCUGCUGAUCAUUUUAAUGUUCUGGAUCUGGGGUGUGGCUGCAAGAGAGGGGAGGCAGCCAAUGACAGGGAGAAGGAGCAGGACGUCGAGGAGUGCAAGUAGAAGGCAAACACAUCGAGACAUUGGAAGAAAUAGACGUGUUGUACAAGGAGUGGGCUUUACAGUCUGGUAUUAA